UCCGCGGGAUCGCCCAGCCAGUCGCAUGCGAUUAGCCGUCCUUGCGCGCUAUUUAUACACCACUUUCCGUCGUCGCACAGUGGUUGUCAUAAUCAUCGGAUGGGGUUAAAAUCGCAAGUGCAUCACUGACCACUGGGACACAACGCAGAUCCCGUAGGAAAUAGAUUAAAGUAGUGUUUCGAUAUAGCAAUAGUUUAAUGCCCAUACAUAAAGUUUUCUAGGAAGGGCAAAUAAUGUUUUACGCAGAAGGCCAUGUCGAAAAACAAGUUAUGUUGUCCGUGUUCUUUGACGGAUUGUUGUGUUCGUGGGAAAGGUGCUGCAUCAGAGUGGCAUGGAAUCACAUGAACUACAGGCGGGCCAGCACGGUGUAGCAUCAUGUCUAGCCUGUGGGAAACCUUGACCCAAAUGCAAAGUCACUCAUCGCGAGCGAAACCUGUUUUCUGCGAGUGCGAAACCCUUUUGCCUGCCGCCACUCGCAUGCUACAAAACUCGCGUUCUUUGCCUUGAGGUGUCAGCCAGUCGAUGCGAUUGCAAUUGCCAUGGCAGUUGCAAUUCGUUAGCUAUUGCCUGUUUUUUACAGGCACUUUGCAUUCGUGGCUUUCGCAAAUGCUGCUUUUAUGCGGAAAGAGCGCUCGUUCCCACUGCAAGUUCAAGUUGACUUCGUUAUCGCCUUUUAACGUACUCGCUUCCCCUUGUUUAGCAACUUUUCGAAACUGCUCGUUCAGGAAGCACCUUGGAACUUCUAUAUUUAUAUGCUGUGUGUAUAUGCAGCUGCCGUUUGUCUGCCGCCUGGAAGAUUCUGCUCGCUGGAUACACUUUCCCGAUCCCGAUCCGCUGCAAUUUAUUCGGAUACAGCAUCUAAUGUGGGCUUAAUUCGUGCGGUACUCACUGCGAUGAAUCAUUCCAAGUUUAAGGCCACAGUAAUUGUAUAAAUUAGAAUGGGAAAUUACAUAGUAUACAUUACUUUAUUAA
rnacentral:sRNA from 1 species